AAUAGGAUAGUUCAACGGUAGAACAUUAGCAUAGCCAUGUUAAAAAUACUUGUUCAAUUCAAGUUCUUAUUA